UUUAAAGAGAGUUUGAUCCUGGCUCAGGACGAACGCUGGCGGCGUGCCUAAUACAUGCAAGUCGAACGAACGGAGGAAGAGCUUGCUCUUCCAAUGUUAGUGGCGGACGGGUGAGUAACACGUGGGCAACUUGCCUGUAAGUUGGGGAUAACUCCGGGAAACCGGGGCUAAUACCGAAUGAUAAGAUGUGGCGCAUGCCACGCCUUUGAAAGAUGGUUUCGGCUAUCGCUUACAGAUGGGCCCGCGGUGCAUUAGCUAGUUGGUAGGGUAAUGGCCUACCAAGGCAACGAUGCAUAGCCGACCUGAGAGGGUGAUCGGCCACACUGGGACUGAGACACGGCCCAGACUCCUACGGGAGGCAGCAGUAGGGAAUCUUCCGCAAUGGACGAAAGUCUGACGGAGCAACGCCGCGUGUAUGAAGAAGGUUUUCGGAUCGUAAAGUACUGUUGUUAGAGAAGAACAAGGAUAAGAGUAACUGCUUGUCCCUUGACGGUAUCUAACCAGAAAGCCACGGCUAACUACGUGCCAGCAGCCGCGGUAAUACGUAGGUGGCAAGCGUUGUCCGGAUUUAUUGGGCGUAAAGCGCGCGCAGGCGGUCUUUUAAGUCUGAUGUGAAAGCCCCCGGCUUAACCGGGGAGGGUCAUUGGAAACUGGAAGACUGGAGUGCAGAAGAGGAGAGUGGAAUUCCACGUGUAGCGGUGAAAUGCGUAGAUAUGUGGAGGAACACCAGUGG
rnacentral:rRNA from 1 species